GACAGAGGGUGCGAACGUUGCUCGGAAUCACUGGGCGUAAAGCGCGUGUAGGCGGCACUGCGCGUCGGGUGUGAAAGCCCAGGGCUCAACCCUGGAAGCGCACCCGAAACGACAGCGCUGGAGUGUUGGAGAGGCGGGCGGAAUUCCCGGUGUAGAGGUGAAAUUCGUAGAUAUCGGGAGGAACACCAGUGGCGAAGGCGGCCCGCUGGCCAGAGACUGACGCUGAGACGCGAAAGCGUGGGGAGCAAACAGG
rnacentral:rRNA from 1 species